AUGAAAGGUCUUAUGUUUUUCGUAAUUGUAUAAAUCAUUUUAUAUAACCCAAGUUAUAUCGAAAGUGAUAACUAUUCUAACCAGGACGAGCAUAGUUGGCCCAGCAAACGUCAGAGGGAAGUUGAUUCUAUUUAUAUGCAAAGAAAGCUUCAAAUUACACUGAAUGUUGUUUCAGGUGCAGUGGAUGGAUAAUGAAGGAAAGACUCAUCUGAUAUUGGCUUCUAUGAAUUCACACUUAAUUGAUGUUGCAACAACUUUGAUAGAAUUGGGUGUGAAUACAAAUACCUAUUGUCCAGUGAUGUUCGGGAAACCCAGGCAACAUCUUAUUUGUGGGUGAAAUGCAGGUCCAAACUGCAAGGCAUGGAGCGGGAUCGUUGGAAAAAAUCAGUUUAUAAUAUGUGUUGGGUCUAGGUGUGGUUAUUAUGUUUAGAACAGUGGGUGGUUAUUUUUUUGUAAAGUUCGGAUCACAACAACUUGCUAGGCCUGUGUAUAAUUUUUGGUGUUGAAAUAAAACUUGCCUUUGAAAAAA